AUUUCCCCCCAAAUCCCUCUCCUGUAGACGCACGAGCUUCCUCCCAAAUCCCACCCCAGUGCCGAGAGCGCCGCCAAAUUAACACCAAAACCACGGCGGCGCAGCUCAUCCAUCGCGGUGCCGCCCGCGCCCUCCUCAAGCCAUCGCCAUUGUAGGCGGCGGCGGCCUCCGCCGCUGCAGACUUGGGCUCCCGCGGCUGCCGCUACAGAGGCAGCCGCCGCCGGCGGCGGUGGCGUGGGCCUUGACCAACCGGCCGCCCUCGGUAGCUUCGGACGCACCGGAGGUCUCCGCCGCUCCGAUCCUCGCCCGACCCUGCCGCCCUCGACGGAUCCUAGCUAGCCUGCCGCCCUCGGUGGAUCCUACCCUGCCGCCCACGACCGAGACCAAUCUGCCGCAGCCAUAGACGUGUGCUUCAACUUCAGAAAGCAGAACCAAGGCUUAAUUAGGAUGACGAGUGGCUUCCACUCCCCAAAUUCUUAAGAGGUUCCGCAGCACUUCUACUGACUAUUGCAAAUGAGUCCGAACGUCCAUUGAUUAGACCUGAUGGGGACACGCACUGGUUAGAAUUACAUACAUUGAGAAAAAAAAUGUCAGAAGGCCAAAUGGUGUGCUAACAGUCUGUCCAGACUACAAUGGAGAGUAGCCUUGGUGGUCUGCAUAAUUUCUUAUGGUGUGUAAAAAUUUCAGACCAUCGCAUCCCUUCAAGGAAUUCAAGGGCCUGAGAUUCCAUGUAUUGUUAUACCUCCACCUCCAGCUUUUUCAACAUUAACCACUUCGUUUCCGAUCUUUGCUCCAGAAAUGGUAUGUACAUAUUUCUUUCGAAGGCAAUAACACCAGAUCGGCCCAAUAAGAAAAGAAAGGGGAUAGGUUGCACUAUAGCAGCAAAUGUGCAUCCGUUUUUUAUUGCUAUUGUGUUGAAGCUAUUUUGCCCACACAAUAUGUUACAACUAAUCACACAACAGCCUUGAAGCUAUGGUACUACCUCUGCUAUGUUCUCUUCUCUAGGUCCUUGAUUGAAAAGGAGGCAUUUGUGGUAUUUGUAGUAGCUUGAGCCUUUUAUAUAUAACAAUGCACGCCCAUCAUCGCUACAUAGUUUAACAUCUAUCUUGCUGUUUAAUCAACUAAGGAUUUUUGUAGUCAUUAUUUAUAAUUUGAUAUUUCAAGAUUCUAAAAAAAGACAUUUCUGUAGCCCUCCACAGGUCAAUCAACUAAUGGUGCUGAAAAUAUGAAUAAUACAUCGCGUGGAGCAGAAGAUGGAAUGUUUGCUGGCUUGUUUGACGCAAACUGGAAAUUUCUCUCCACCUGGUGACGAACUACCUCCUUUUUGAGAUGUCUCUUGCGAUGGUGAAGGAAGUGGCAUAAAUUUUUUGUGUUGAUUAAUUGGAAGCCAAUGCUUGUUACUAGGAUAUGCAUACUUAAUUAAGUGCAACCUGAACUUCUCUUUUUGGCCAUGCACAUGCUGAUGGUUGUGAUCUCUUGGAUCAGUGACUUACAUGAUUCAUAGUGUGUGUGACAAUCCUAUUUUGAUGACACUUUGUGAACUGUGGGGUACUUUUGUAAGCUCCUGGUUGUUGUCAUGUAAAAUGAUGAUGGUUAAUAUAUAUGCGUGUGUGCGCGCGUCG